UCGCUGUGGUAGCCCACCGGGAUAUGAAUGUAGCAACACCGAUCCUUUGCAUGCUAACCUCUCGGCCCACCGCCAAUGUUCGCAGUUGGCCUUGCUACCGACUCCAUAAUUUUGCCCAAUGACCUAUUAUCUCUCACUAGCUUGCGUUCUAUGUCAUGGCCCUUUUUAAAGAGGGCCUGAGUGAAUAAUAAUGUGUAAGGUCAUG
rnacentral:misc_RNA from 1 species